rnacentral:rRNA from 1 species
UGGGCAACCUGCCCUCAGCUCUGGGAUAACUCCAAGAAAUUGGGGCUAAUACCGGAUAUGACUGCUGACCGCAUGGUCUGGUGGUGGAAAGAUUUAUCGGCUGGGGAUGGGGCCCGCGGCCUAUCAGCUUGUUGGUGGGGUAGUGGCCUACCAAGGCGACGACGGGUAGCCGGCCUGAGAGGGUGACCGGCCACACUGGGACUGAGACACGGCCCAGACUCCGUACGGGAG